GAGGGCCUUAGCUUAAUUAAAGUGUCUGGGUUGCAUUCAGAAGAUGUGGGGUAGUGUCCUGCAGGUUUUA
rnacentral:tRNA from 1 species